CAACUACUCCCUCUAUCCCAAAUUUCUUGUCUUAGAUUUGUCUAGAUACGGAUGUAUCUAAUACUAAAAUGUGACUUGAUACAUCCGUAUCUAGACAAAUCUAAGACAAGAAUUUUGGGACAGAGGGAGUACUCU
rfam:Triticum aestivum genome assembly, contig: Triticum_aestivum_CS42_TGACv1_scaffold_556420_7AL